rnacentral:ncRNA from 2 species
CUGAACGCAGAGGGAGAGACUGGCCUAGCCAGCGCCGAAGGAGCAACCGCCCCGGAAACUCUCAGGCAGAAGGACCCUGCGUUUUA